ACGUAGGUGGCGAGCGUUGUCCGGAAUUAUUGGGCGUAAAGAGCGCGUAGGCGGCUUGCCAGGUCCGACGUGAAACCCCGGGGCUCAACUCCGGACGUGCAUCGGAAACCGGCUUGCUAGAGUCUGGGAGAGGGGAGUGGAAUUCCUGGUGUAGCGGUGAAAUGCGCAGAUAUCAGGAGGAACACCGGUAGCGAAGGCUGCUCCCUGGAACAGUACUGACGCUGAGGCGCGAAAGCUAGGGGAGCGAACAG
rnacentral:rRNA from 1 species